rnacentral:rRNA from 1 species
UCCCGAACAGGACCGUGAAACGACUCCACGCCGAUGAUAGUGCGGAUUCCCGUGUGAAAGUAGGUAAUCGUCAGGC